GAGCCAUGUGAAGGGAAACUUUCACGCACGGUUUUGAAUGGGAGGGCGUGAAGGUGACUUCAAUCUCGACCCCUAC
rnacentral:ncRNA from 1 species